UCCGGUUCUGCGGGAGAGAGGGGCCACGCCCCCGCCGAAGACGCAAGCUCCCAUAAUCGCUCAGGCAACCGUACCGCAGCGCCGUA
rnacentral:ncRNA from 2 species